CCUACGGGAGGCAGCAGUGAGGAAUAUUGGUCAAUGGUCGAGAGGCUGAACCAGCCAAGUCGCGUGAGGGAAGACGGCCCUACGGGUUGUAAACCUCUUUUGUCGGGGAGCAAAGCGAGUCACGUGUGACUCAUUGAGAGUACCCGAAGAAAAAGCAUCGGCUAACACGGUGCCAGCAGCCGCGGUACUACGGGGGAUGCGAGCGUUAUCCGGAUUUAUUGGGUUUAAAGGGUGCGCAGGCGGAGGUGCAAGUCAGCGGUAAAAUUGCGGGGCUCAACCCCGUACUGCCGUGGAAACUGCAACCCUUGAGUGCGCGAGAGGUAUGCGGAAUGCGAGGUGUAGCGGUGAAAUGCAUAGAUAUAACGCAGAACUCCGGUGGCGAAGGCAGCAUACCGGCGCGCAACUGACGCUGAUGCACGAAAGCGUGGGUAGCGAACAGGAUUAGAUACCCGAGUAGUC
rnacentral:rRNA from 1 species